CCUACGGGAGGCAGCAGUAGGGAAUGUUCGGCAAUGGGGGGAACCCUGACCGAGCAACGCCACGUGAACGAAGAAGGUAUUCGGAAUGUAAAGUUCUGUUAACAGGGAAGAAAGAGAAAUUGGACGGUACCUGAAGAAUAAGCUCCGGCUAACGACGUGCCAGCAGCCGCGGUAAUACGUCGGGAGCGAGCGUUAUCCGGAAUGAUUGGGCGUAAAGGGUGCGUAGAGGGCAUAGUAAGUCUUUUGUAAAAAUGCUGGGCUCAACCCAGUAGGGCAAACGAUACUGCAAAGCUAGAGUAUGCCAGAGGCUAGUGGAACUACAUGUGUAGCGGUCAAAUGCGUACCUAUCUGU
rnacentral:rRNA from 1 species